rnacentral:rRNA from 1 species
GACGAACGCUGGCGGCGCGCUUAACACAUGCAAGUCGAGCGAUGAAAUUUCGACAGAUCCCUUCGGGGUGAAGAUGAAAUGGAUUGGCGGCGGACGGGUGAGUAACACGUGAGUAACCUGCCUUUGACAUUGGGAUAGCCUCGGGAAACUGGGAUUAAUACCAAAUGACACUAACUGAUCACAUGAUCAAUUAGUCAAAGAAAUUCGGUCAAAGAUGGACUCGCGGCUGAUUAGCUAGUUGGUGAGGUAACGGCCCACCAAGGCGACGAUCAGUAGCCGGCCUGAGAGGGUGAUCGGCCACAUUGGAACUGAGACACGGUCCAAACUCCUACGGGAGGCAGCAGUGGGGAAUAUUGCACAAUGGGGGAAACCCUGAUGCAGCGACGCCGCGUGAGCGAAGAAGGCCUUCGGGUCGUAAAGCUCUUUUAUGAGGGAAGAUAAUGACGGUACCUCAAGAAAAAGCCCCGGCUAACUACGUG